AAAUUAAAGAAAAUAAUUUUGAAAAUAACAGUUAUUAGUUCAAGAUGUGGCUAAUGCAUUAGCAUACUUAUGUUUCGCAUUCUGUGACAGUCAUUACAACACAAUAAUAACAAUGAAGCCUUACAAAAUAUUACAUGUAUUUUAAUCAAUACAAAACAGAAGAUGUAAAACAGUUUAAGAUACAAGAUUCAUAAGUAUACAUUUAAGUUACAAAGUAAAAAUACACAAAAGUAAUAUUAUAG
rnacentral:lncRNA from 1 species